UGGGGAAUAUUGCGCAAUGGGGGGAACCCUGACGCAGCAACGCCGCGUGAGCGAAGAAGGCCUUCGGGUCGUAAAGCUCUGUCAUAAGGGACGAAGUCUCUCUUUAUGAGAGGUGACGGUACCUUAAGAGGAAGCCCCGGCUAACUACGUGCCAGCAGCCGCGGUAACACGUAGGGGGCAAGCGUUGUCCGGAAUUAUUGGGCGUAAAGGGCGUGUAGGCGGUUAAUUAAGUCAGGUGUGAAAACCCGGGGCUCAACCCCGGGAUUGCACCUGAAACUGAUUAACUUGAGGGCAAGAGAGGAAAGCGGAAUUCCUAGUGUAGCGGUGAAAUGCGUAGAUAUUAGGAGGAACACCAGUGGCGAAGGCGGCUUUCUGGCUUGACCCUGACGCUGAGGCGCGAAAGCGUGGGGAGCAAACAGG
rnacentral:rRNA from 1 species